AGAGUUUGAUCCUGGCUCAGGAUGAACGCUGGCGGCGUGCCUAACACAUGCAAGUCGAACGAUGAAACCGCCCUCGGGCGGACAUGAAGUGGCGAACGGGUGAGUAACACGUGACCAACCUGCCCCUUGCUCCGGGACAACCUUGGGAAACCGAGGCUAAUACCGGAUACUCCUCGCCCCCCUCCUGGGGGGCCCGGGAAAGCCCAGACGGCAAGGGAUGGGGUCGCGGCCCAUUAGGUAGUAGGCGGGGUAACGGCCCACCUAGCCCGCGAUGGGUAGCCGGGUUGAGAGACCGACCGGCCACAUUGGGACUGAGAUACGGCCCAGACUCCUACGGGAGGCAGCAGUGGGGAAUUUUGCGCAAUGGGGGAAACCCUGACGCAGCAACGCCGCGUGCGGGACGACGGCCUUCGGGUUGUAAACCGCUUUCAGCAGGGAAGAAAUUCGACGGUACCUGCAGAAGAAGCUCCGGCUAACUACGUGCCAGCAGCCGCGGUAAUACGUAGGGAGCGAGCGUUAUCCGGAUUCAUUGGGCGUAAAGAGCGCGUAGGCGGCCUCUCAAGCGGGAUCUCUAAUCCGAGGGCUCAACCCCCGGCCGGAUCCCGAACUGGGAGGCUCGAGUUCGGUAGAGGCAGGCGGAAUUCCCGGUGUAGCGGUGGAAUGCGCAGAUAUCGGGAAGAACACCGAUGGCGAAGGCAGCCUGCUGGGCCGCAACUGACGCUGAGGCGCGAAAGCUAGGGGAGCGAACAGGAUUAGAUACCCUGGUAGUCCUAGCCGUAAACGAUGGAUACUAGGUGUGGGGGGCUCCGCCCUCCGUGCCGCAGCCAACGCAUUAAGUAUCCCGCCUGGGGAGUACGGCCGCAAGGCUAAAACUCAAAGGAAUUGACGGGGGCCC
rnacentral:rRNA from 1 species